ACCUGUGGUUCCUGGGAGUAGCCAGUUGUG
rnacentral:piRNA from 1 species